rnacentral:lncRNA from 1 species
AAUCUGGCACAAGUAACAGGAUGUCAUUUCCUACCUGACAGGAAUUUUUCAAGAACAAAGUGAGUUACUAGAUGUGAAGUGCACGGACGGCAGCUGGCACAAAAUAAGCAUAUGUUGUGAUGUUUGCAAUAUCCGGCAGGUUUUCUCUCUGCAACAGCCCUAAAAUUUCUCUCCAAAUUGGCUGCAUUGGUAAAGCGCAACCAAAAACAUUUCCCUUUGGCUGUGGAGGCAAAGGGUGCGUUGUCGUCAUCAGGCUGCUGAGGCCGUCACAGAUUUUCACUCACUGCGGCUAAUCACACAAAACUUAAAACAACCAUGUGGCUCCUAGUUCCAUAAAGCUUCAGACAUCAGCUAUCAGAUCCUGCAAAGGUACAGCAACACUUCUUUAAAAGAGUUCAUCAUGCAGUUGAACACGGCACCAAGCACAUUCCAAAACCAUAUAGAAGAAUAUUCUACUCUUGGAUAAACUGAAUGCAUUUCCCAAAUACACAGGCACUUCAUUCCUGGAAUUCAAUGACAAACAAAACCCCAAACUAAAGUAAACUCAAGAGUUGGUCAUCACUCCUUCCCUUCUGCCCAUCAAGACGGAUGGAUUAUGACCUUUCCUGCUCCAUUCUAGACAGCCUGAGACCUUGGACUCCAGCAGCCCCAGGCCACAGCAGAAUGCCUUGGGAGAGGCAGGCAAUUAACUAAUGAAUUAUUAACAAUUAAAAACCGAAUUCUUAACAAUGAACUUUCAGGCUAGUGAGGGCGAUUGCUAUUUCUUCCAUUCUCUCCACUUUUUGGAGCAAGGGUGGGGCCUCAAAGUGCUUCCUGCAAGGUCCUUCAGAAAGUGACUCCUCUUCACAGCAAAUGCAGCAUUUGCCAGGCCCACGCUAAGCUCUGACCAUGCAGCCAUUCUCUCUCUCCCCACCCGAUCCAUCCUCUGAGGUCGGUAUCAUUUUUAUCCCCACUUUACAGAGGAGGAAACGGAAGCACCUAGAGCAGCACAGGUUCAGGUGUGUGCUCUGAUUGUGCACUGAGUCGUGUCCCUAAGCAUGGGUGACGGCUGGCCGGCUACAGGAAGAGGGGUGUGGCUGCCCGCGUAGCGGAAGCAGCAGGAACAGAAGCACCGGGUCCAUUCGAGGGAAUGAAGGCGCACCCGAGCACUGGGCCACGGAAGUGUGUG